GUGUGCAUUUGGGCAGCCCAUAUGGUAAUAUUGGAAUGAUAUAGAGAAGAUUAGCAUGAUCCUGCACAAAGAUGGCACACAAAUUUUGAAGUGUUCCAUAUUUUU
rnacentral:snRNA from 1 species